GAUGAAGAACGCAGCGAAAUGCGAUAAGUAAUGUGAAUUGCAGAAUUCAGUGAAUCAUCGAAUCUUUGAACGCAUCUUGCGCUCCUUGGUAUUCUGAGGAGCAUGCCUGUUUGAGUGUCAUUAAAUUCUCAACCGCACUGACUUUGAAUUGGUGUGGCUUGGAUUUGGGGGGAAAAUUGUUGUGGGCUUUUUGUAUAGUCUGCUCCCCUGAAAUUGAUUAGCGGUACCUUUGUGGAACUGUCUACAGGUGUGAUAAUUAUCUACAUCUUAGACAUCUGCUGGAAUGCUGCUUUCUAAACCUUACUUGUAUUGACAAUCUUGACCUCAAAUCAGGUAGGACUACCCGCUGAACUUAAGCAUAUCAAUAAGCGGAGGA
rnacentral:misc_RNA from 1 species